AAAACGAAACGGACACCCCGUGGAUGCGAGCACGCAAUUCUGGCAACCGCGGGCGUGCGUGUCCACCAUACACGCUACCGGCUACUAUUAAUACGUAGUAAGAUAAUAUAUUUAGACGUUUCCUCGGCGACGUCUCGCGGGGCACAACCUUCUUCAAGACAGAAGAGACCGUCGUCCGCACUGUAGGCGCGCGUCAGGUGGGGACUAAGAGGCGAACUUCGAUCGAGUUCGGGAGUCUUGCCAGUAUUCGGGAGCUUAAAAGGGAAGGCUGAGGAACAAAACGGGAAAGAAGAUGAAAAAAAAAGAGAAGAAAAAAGAAGAGAACAGCGUUGCGAUGAGCCUAGAGAAGGAACCUCGUCCUCGCCUUUUUCAGAGCUCCAGCUGCUGGUCCAGAAAAGAGAGAGGAAUGAGGAAGGGAUGUAAUCGCGUAGUAAUUUCCUCAUGAGCUUCCUUUCCCCUCGUCCCAUCCCGAGAACCUUACACGGUAGCAGAACGCACUUGGACCGGGGCCCAGUUGGCUCGGACUCGUCGAUUCUCGCUUCUGCCAACAAAUGGCAUAAGGCGCGACGAAGGCGACGACUCGCUCGCCGGCACUUUCUUCUAAUAAAAGCCUCGAGCUUUACAACCGCAUGAUGGAUCCCGGCCAGAAGGUGUUGAGUGAUGGAUAUAUAUUCUUAAAUACACAAGCGCGUUCUCCUCGGCAUCUCGUCACGGCGCAACUCCAACCGGUUCGAAAACGUUCGGAGAACGGUUCUGAAACCAGGGCAACAAAGAGAAAGAGAGAAGCCCAUCAAGCAUCGGGGUCUCGAAACGUAACACAAGGGUAUCAAUUAUGCAACCUUACGCUUUUUAAUCUCGUUACGGCUACGUUAUGUGCGUACUUGCACAGGAUAGUAAAGGUAACGAGGUAGCAAGGGUAUUUAAACUAAACACUAACCGUUGUAGUGGUAUUUAAGUCUUACGUAAUAUUGGCGUCGUGCAUGUCGAUAGCACUUGAGGAGAUAGAGGAAGGAAUGGACGGAACGCAUUAGGAGAGAUCGCGCGGAUAAACGAAGAUGCGAUGUCGCGACACACGCGAAAGCAAUAAAUACUAUAAAUAGAGAACUCGUGAUCGUUUGAUUGUAUAUUAUUAUCGCGCGUAUGCUCGCUCGAUUGACACGUGUAACACGUGUGCGACCGCAUAUAGCAUUUACGAAAUUCAAUGCCAAUAUUUCUCUCCCUCCCCUCUCACCCUUUUACAUUCUAAUACUACUGUAUUAUCCCGAUCUAUUUAUAAAGUUUUAUUGUAUUGCACGGACAUAAAUUCAGCAUUCGCGGUAACAAAAUUCCAGCAGAAAGCAGAAGAAAGAUAAAUAAAAUAAAAAAAUAUAGUAAAAAAAGAAAUAAACAUGUAAUUAGAGGAAUAUGUAAUCGAGGUAACGGAAAGAGAAAGUCAACGGAAAGUUUAUUAAAAAAAAGAGAUAAGAGUAGUGAGUUUGCGGAGUAUAUAAAUCUGGUCGCACACAAUCUUCUUACAACACUAUACAAUCUUGCAAAAUGCAAUAUAAUCAGCUUACGGAUAGGAUCGGAUUAAUACCACGAAACGUUUGAAAUACUGAGGGAACGAUGGAACGAGGGAAAUUCCGUUAAAUCCGAGUUUACGACGCGGGGGACUUCCGAAAUGAGAAUCCGCCUUAAAUUAGGGCCGUUUGCACGAACCAGUCCGGAAUUCGUCUCAUUGUACCGAGAAAGGACCGACAAUUAAGACGUAUGCUCGCCGGCACGCAAUAUUGCCCGCCUCGCUCUUUUACGAGCCGUUUUAACGGCCCUCUCGCGCUUUCUCCCCGCGUGUAAACGCGAGCGCGAGUCGACCACGCACGCCUCACGUGCGUAAUUUGUGCGUACAUCGCGCCGCGUAGCCCGCGUUCGACACGUGCGUGAGCACUCGCGAAUAUCCUGUUUGGGUCGUGGACGAGUUUUUUUUUUUUUUUCUUCUUUUUCUUCUUCUUCGCCCUCUUCGUCUCAUCGCGGGAAUAAAGUUUCGCGGCGACGACGUGGAAUACCAUCGUCGACGAGAGAGUUUUACGACCCAUCGCGCUUAAUCGGCUCUCGAGUCGGGGCUCCAUCGCCGCGUUUUAUCGAGCAUGUAUCGGGUGUCCGGUUUUGUUAGACGACGCGUCGUUCGUCGAGCGGCGUGCCCGCGGAAUGCGCGGGAUAGCAGCGCCGAGGUAGCAAAAUGGAAGAAACGAGGGCGCGGAUAAUCCGUUCCCUUCAUUGAAUGCGAUCCGCACUUCAUUCCGCGAUUUUGCGUUCCCAUAUCAAUCAUUGUCAAUGAUUUUUU